GUGGGCCGCUCUAGGAAAGCGCUGGCUGCUGGAGCUUCCGCUUGAGGCCUUGGAAGGCCUCUCCAGUCAGAAAGCAAAUGUCAGGCUGGUAUAUUUAUAAAUUGUUUGUUAAUGUUUUUAUGUUUUUGUCCCUUUUGGGGGAAAUAAAGAGGGGUAUAAAUAAAUAACAGUAAUAAUAAUAAUAAUAAUAAAAAUAAUUUAUAAUAAUAUAUUAGUCAAUCGAAUAAUAAUAAUAAUAAGGCUGGUAUAUUUAUAAAUUGUUUGCUAAUGUUUUUAUGUUUUUGUCCCCUUUGGGGGAAAUAAAGAGGGGUAUAAAUGAAUAACAGUAAUAAUAAUAAUAAAAAAAAUAAUUUAUAAUAAUAUAUUAGUCAAUCGAAUAAUAAUAAUAAUAAUAAUAAUAAUAAUAAUAAUAAUAAUAAUAAUAAUAAUAAUCUGGGAUCACAAACCAGCAAAGAUCGUGGAAAAUGAGCACGCAAAGAUACUGUGGGACUUCCGAAUCCAGACUGACAAAGUUCUGGAACACAACACACCAGACAUCACAGUUAUGGAAAAGAAAAAGGUUUGGAUCAUUGAUGUCGCCAUCCCAGGUGAAAAACAACAGGAAAAACUCAGCCGCUCUCAGGACCUCAAGAUGGAACUGCAAAGACUCUGGCAGAAACCAGUGCAGGUGGUCCCAGUGGUGAUGGGCACACUGGGUGCCGUGCCAAAAGAUCUCAGCCGGCAUUUGGAAACAAUAGACAUUGACACAAUUACGAUCUGGCAACUGCAAAAGGCCACCCUGCUGGGAUCUGCACGCAUCAUCCGAAAAUACAUCACACAGUCCUAGACACUUGGGAAGUGUUCGACUUGUGGUUUCGUGAAACGAAAUCCAGCAUAUCUAUCUUGUUUGCUGUGUCAUACAACGUUGUUGUGUCAAUAAUAAUAAUAAUCUAAUAAUAAUAUUUUCGAUUGUGUGUUGAUGCUUUUAUGUCAAGCUGCUUUGAGUCUCCUUUGGGAGAGAUAAAGCAAGGUAUAAAUAAAUACUUUAUAUAUAUGUGUGUGUGUGUAUAUAAUAUUUAUUUAUACCUUGUUUUAUUCGAUUUACUAAAAUAUUAUAUUUAUUUAUACCUUGCUUUAUCUCUCCCAAAAGGGACUCAAAGCAGCUUGACAUAAAAGCAAGGUAUAAAUAAAUAUAUAAAUUUAUUUAUACCUUGCUUUGUUCAAUUUACUAAAAUAUUAUUAUACAGUAGAGUCUCACUUAUCCAACAUAAACGGGCCGGCAGAACGUUGGAUAAGCGAAUAUCUUGGAUAAUAAGGAGGGAUUAAGGGAAAGCCUAUUAAACAUCAAAUUAGGUUAAGAUUUUACAAAUUAAGCACCAAAACAUCAUAUUAUACACACAUUUGACAGAAAAAGCCGUUCAAUACGCAGUAAUGUUAUGUUGUAAUUACUGUAUUUAUGAAUUUAGCACCAAAAUAUCAUGAUAUAUUGAAAACAUUGACUACAAAAAUGGCUUGGAUAAUCCAGAAACUUGGAUAAGUGAGGCUUGGAUAAGUGAGACUCUACUGUAUAUAUAUGUGUGUGUGUGUGUGUGUGUGUGUGUGUGUAAUGUGCAUAUUUCCCAUGGAGUAAACUACAAAACCACUGGACCAAAUCACACCAAAUUUGGCCACAAAAUACAUAGUCAUCUGUUGGAGUAUGGUUGUAUUUGUAUGAAAUGUAAAUCAAGUGUUUACUGCUGAUGAGCAAGAGUGUGUAUUUUUCAGUAAUGAAAUAGUUGACAGCAGGCUAGUUUUGACUGACAGCCUGUUGUGAUUGCUAUGACCUAUCAGGCCUUUGGGAGUCGGAACUUCCUCUGGACAGAGGAUUGUGUUUCUUAUCUUAUCUGUGGAGUUCGGCUUGAGCAUUCGCUAACGAUGGACUAUGAAUGCUAUGCUCUGAAGCCGAGAAAUGCAAACUGUAAAUAGUUAUGUAAAUAAAGUUAAUCAACAGUUGGA